CCGUAGGACCAGAGUCUCAUAAAAGAAUCCAAAAAUGUACAAUAGCUGCCAACAGCAACCUUCUUGGUAGUGUAUGCAACCUGUUGUCUGUAUGGGUUGUCCUAAAACAUCUUGAAGAUAGUA
ensembl:snoRNA SNORA70 Small nucleolar RNA SNORA70